rnacentral:rRNA from 1 species
CCUACGGGAGGCUGCAGUGGGGAAUAUUGGACAAUGGGGGGAACCCUGAUCCAGCGACGCCGCGUGAGUGAAGAAGUAUUUCGGUAUGUAAAGCUCUAUCAGCAGGGAAGUAAGAAAUGACGGUACCUUACUAAGAAGCCCCGUCUAACUACGUGCCAGCAGCCGCGGCAAUACGUAGGGGGCAAGCGUUAUCCGGAUUUACUGGGUGUAAAGGGAGCGUAGACGGCGAUGCAAGUCUGAAGUGAAAGGCGGGGGCCCAACCCCCGGACUGCUUUGGAAACUGUAUGGCUGGAGUGCAGGUGAGGUAAGUGGAAGUCCUGGUGUAGCGGUGAAAUGCGUAGAUAUUAGGAGGAACACCAGUGGCGAAGGCGGCUUACUAAACUGUAACUGACGUUGAGGCUCGAAAGCGUGGGGAGCAAACAGGAUUAGAUACCCUUGUAGUC